rnacentral:rRNA from 1 species
UUGGAGGGCAAGUCUGGUGCCAGCAGCCGCGGUAAUUCCAGCUCCAAUAGCGUAUAUUAAAGUUGUUGCAGUUAAAAAGCUCGUAGUUGAAUUUCGGGAUUAGUACGUCGGUCGUGCCUUAGGUACGUACUGGUGUUACUGGUUCCUACCUUCUGACGAACCAUCAUGUCAUUAAUUUGGUGUGGUGGGGAAUCAGGACUGUUACUUUGAAAAAAUUAGAGUGUUUAAAGCAGGCUCGCGCUUGAAUACAUUAGCAUGGAAUAAUGAAAUAGGACGUUGAUCCUAUUUUGUUGGUUUCUAGGAUUGACGUAAUGAUUAAUAGGGAUAGUUGGGGGCAUUAGUAUUCAAUUGUCAGAGGUGAAAUUCUUGGAUUUAUUGAAGACUAACUACUGCGAAAGCAUUUGCCAAGGAUGUUUUCAUUAAUCAAGAACGAAAGUUAGGGGAUCGGAGACGAUCAGAUACCGUCGUAGUCUUAACCAUAAACUAUGCCGACUAGGGAUCGGAUGAUGUUAUUUUUAAUGACUCAUUCGGCACCUUACGGGAAAC